CACUUUUGUACUUGCUGGAUAGACUGCUGCCACACCGGCUGGCUAGAUUGCUCUUAUCUUUUGGCUGUUUUUCUUUUCUUUCUUUCUUUUUUGCUUUCUAUGGUGAUUUCAUGAGAGCCACGUUAACAAGGGCCAGUGGAAAGCUCAGUGGGUGAAAAAAACCUUGCUAUACAAGACUUGGUCGCAUUCCUAGAAUCCACAUUGAAGGAGAGAACCAACUUCCUACUGCUAUCUUAUAGUCUCCAUGCGAGAAGAAAAACUUUGGAUACCAUCAAAAUUGAUCAAGAUUAGAGUUGAAAAAGACAACCCUCUUGACAAGGACAACUGACUGGAAAACUGAUCUCCAGAAGUCCAAGAAUACUAUAUGAGUAGAUACUUAAGAAAACAAGUUCCUAUUCAAGUAAAUAAAUGCUGGAUUUAGAGUUGGAUUUGUCUUUCCUCCCCUAAAAUCUAAACAUGUUGUUUAACUAAACUUUUCAGUUUCUGUAUUAUAUCAAGAAGCCAACUGAUGUAAUACAAAAUAAAUUAAGAAUUUGAAGACCAUCUUUUGUCUUUUCUUGGCUCUUUCUUUCAAGGCCUACACCCUCUCAUAAUUGUUGUUUUCCCAUGGUUGCCUUUCCCAGCAUACAUACAUAUGCAAGCAAACAUUUCUCUGCUAACACUUAUGUUUGAGUCCCAUACAGCCAAUGAAGACCCGCCUUACAACAAUCCCUGGACGCUGCGGAAAUGGAAUUGGGCCAUACCUCCUGGACUGCACUGGAUCCAACUUACUCCAUUUCAACUGACACUCCAGCCAGAGCUUCAAGUACUGGCUUCAGUCAAGUUGAGGAUUUCAACCUAGAUCUUCAAUCAAGCAAACCCCAUCUAACAUGGACUGGAGAUAACCCAUUAGAGACUUUCACUAUACUAACAUUUUCUUCCCACAGGACCCCACAAGGCUACCAUCAUUCCAUUUCAGCAGGAAGUAACUUGGAAGAUGCUACACCCCUUUUCCCCAUUAUUGUCUAUUAGGGUGGUGUAAGCCUAGUUAGGAAUAACUUUCCUAUUGUUUAGGGUUGGGAUUGGAAGGAGGUGUUCAGGUUGGACACCCCUUUCAGAUAACUUUAUUGCUUAGCUGGAAUAGACACAGUUAGGAAGUGCAAUAGCAGAUUAUUGUAUCUUCUUGUAUUUCACCUUUAUGAUUAUUAAUUUUGCAUGUUUUCACCAUUAAGUUUUAAUCCUCUUUUAGUCUAAAAGGGGAAUUGUAGGGAGACAACAUAACCACACUUUCUAAGAGCUGGCUACAGGUGUGCUUAACCACUCCUGCCAGGGCUUGGUCUGGAUGAUGCGUGGAGAGUUCUUAAAGUGUGGCAGGGAUGUGGGAGCUAUCUCUCUGGCCUCCCUAGCUUGCUGCCUCUGGGCUCGCUCUGGCUUGUGCUUGGCCAGUAUUAUUUAAAUAAAGAUAUCUUAACCUGCAAUCUCUCAGUACAGUUUCCUUUAAAGAAUCAUUGCUUAUUUCUCACAUUAGAAGGAGGCAUUUGCAAUUUCAUCCUUUUUAAUAAUCUGUAAAAUAUUUUAUGCUUAUGAUAUGUACACCAACUUGUUUUCUUAUGGGAAGAUUUAUUAUGGUGGAAGAUAUGAAGUUUAGUGUACCAAUAAGUCUUUACUCCAAACUGCCCAAGCCCUUCAGGCACAUGGGCGCUUUCUGCCAGGCUCCCAAGUUCUGCCCGACGCCAUGUUAGAGUUCCAAGUAACACACAGAGACUUAUAUUAGGUACAAAUGCUUCUUGGCCAAUGACUAGGAUUUCUUAUAUGCUAGGUAAGUCUUAAUUAUCAUAAAUCUAUAUAUUUUAUAAGACUUAUUUUAUGUAAGACACCUUCCACUAGCAUCCUCAUCCUGGAAUUACAUGGUGGCUCAGAGCAGAGAGC
rnacentral:lncRNA from 1 species